AUACGGAGGAUGCAAGCGUUAUCCGGAUUUAUUGGGUUUAAAGGGUGCGUAGGCGGUUUGCUAAGCGGGAGGUGAAAUGCCGGCGCUCAACGUCGGAAGUGCCUCCCGAACUGGUGGACUUGAAUGACUCUGCCGUGGGAGGAAUGUGUAGUGUAGCGGUGAAAUGCUUAGAGAUUACACAGAACACCGAUUGCGAAGGCAUCUCACGAAGGGUUGAUUGACGCUGAGGCACGAAAGCGUGGGGAUCAAACAGGAUUAGAUACCCUGGUAGUCCACGCAGUAAACGAUGAUGGCUAACCGCUGGAUCCAUCGGUUCAGUGGCCAAGCGAAAGCGAUAAGCCAUCCACCUGGGGAGUACGACCGCAAGGUUGAAACUCAAAGGAAUUGACGGG
rnacentral:rRNA from 1 species